GCUGUGUGCUGAGACGGCGGGGGUUGGCGCCCUUGUAGGCUCUGAGGCAGGUGGCAGGGGCAGCUGGGCAAGUUCUGCCCAGGUCUUCAGACCCUGCUUGAAGCCCCUUGGUGAGGAGAGAAGGAAAGACUGGUUCUGAGAUUGCUCCAGAAAUCAGAAACUCUCAGACGGCCUCCUGGAAUGAGACACAGCUGUUUACCUGAACUGACCUGUUCCCAGGACUGAGUGGCUGGUUCAGUGAGAUAGGAAGUAAUCUAUCAACUCAGCUUCUGGACUGUGAAAAUUCUUCAAAGUUUCAAAGAGUCUCUUCCAUACCAGACUUUAAAUCAAAGCAACAUGUUGUUCAAGUUUUCUGGAAGAUACUGCUCUACAAAUAUUAUCUGGGCUCUCUCUCUGCCCCAAGUUGAUGGAUUAUCAUUCAGCAACAAUUCCCCUCUCACUGUGGACACAAUGUACCCAUUGAUGUCGGGUGCAACCAGAUUUUAUUUAUUCAUUCGAGACACAGAG